rnacentral:rRNA from 1 species
GAGUUUGAUCCUGGCUCAGAUUGAACGCUGGCGGCAGGCCUAACACAUGCAAGUCGAGCGGAAACGAGUUAACUGAACCUUCGGGGAACGUUAACGGCGUCGAGCGGCGGACGGGUGAGUAAUGCCUGGGAAAUUGCCCUGAUGUGGGGGAUAACCAUUGGAAACGAUGGCUAAUACCGCAUAAUAGCUUCGGCUCAAAGAGGGGGACCUUCGGGCCUCUCGCGUCAGGAUAUGCCCAGGUGGGAUUAGCUAGUUGGUGAGGUAAUGGCUCACCAAGGCGACGAUCCCUAGCUGGUCUGAGAGGAUGAUCAGCCACACUGGAACUGAGACACGGUCCAGACUCCUACGGGAGGCAGCAGUGGGGAAUAUUGCACAAUGGGCGCAAGCCUGAUGCAGCCAUGCCGCGUGUAUGAAGAAGGCCUUCGGGUUGUAAAGUACUUUCAGCAGUGAGGAAGGUGGGUAUGUUAAUAGCAUACUCAUUUGACGUUAGCUGCAGAAGAAGCACCGGCUAACUCCGUGCCAGCAGCCGCGGUAAUACGGAGGGUGCGAGCGUUAAUCGGAAUUACUGGGCGUAAAGCGCAUGCAGGUGGUUUGUUAAGUCAGAUGUGAAAGCCCGGGGCUCAACCUCGGAAUUGCAUUUGAAACUGGGCAAACUAGAGUACUGUAGAGGGGGGGUAGAAUUUCAGGUGUAGCGGUGAAAAUGCGUAGAAGAUCUGAANGANUACCGGUGGCGANGGCGCCCCCCUUGGACAGAUACUGACACUUNNNAUGCGAAAGCGUGGNGNAGA